rnacentral:rRNA from 1 species
ACGUACACUCCUGCGGGAGGCAGCAGUGGGGAAUAUUGCACAAUGGGCGGAAGCCUGAUGCAGCAACGCCGCGUGCGGGAUGACGGCCUUCGGGUUGUAAACCGCUUUCGCCUGUGACGAAGCGUGAGUGACGGUAAUGGGUAAAGAAGCACCGGCUAACUACGUGCCAGCAGCCGCGGUGAUACGUAGGGUGCGAGCGUUGUCCGGAUUUAUUGGGCGUAAAGGGCUCGUAGGUGGUUGAUCGCGUCGGAAGUGUAAUCUUGGGGCUUAACCCUGAGCGUGCUUUCGAUACGGGUUGACUUGAGGAAGGUAGGGGAGAAUGGAAUUCCUGGUGGAGCGGUGGAAUGCGCAGAUAUCAGGAGGAACACCAGUGGCGAAGGCGGUUCUCUGGGCCUUUCCUGACGCUGAGGAGCGAAAGCGUGGGGAGCGAACAGGCUUAGAAACCCUUGUAGUCCCAUGAU